rnacentral:ncRNA from 1 species
UUGACCAUGCGGUUUGGUCUGACGGAAGGCGGACGCACAACUGCGAGCCGAUGAACAACAACAUCAUAUGAGGCGUAGGCUGGAGGCGGGUUGGCACAAGACGACGAAGCCAUGUGAUCUAACGGCCACCGUCAAUGAUGCAGUUGCGCGGGGGAAGUUCAUGUU